UUAACCAAAUGAGUUGGUGUGAAUAUUCAGCUUUCACUUCUGCACUUUCCCCAUGCUCAAGGGUAUAAAAGGAAGUGACGUAGGCUUCAUCCCAUCAAGCCAAUCUCCUCUUCAGGGUUCGUGAGCAACUAUUCUCCUUCUCCAGGAUGAGUGUGGAAACUGUCAUUCAUAAUGGUGGAUGCCACUGCAAGCGAGUCAGAUGGCAAAUAGAGGCCCCACCAAGUGUUGUUGGGUGCACCUGCAAUUGCUCCAACUGUUCGAUGAGAGGCACCACCCAUUUUGUUGUCCCAAACGACAAGUUCAAGCUCAUGGAAGAGUCCGAGCAGUUCCUGACCACCUACACCUUUGGCACGCAUUCAGCAAAGCACAUCUUCUGCAAGGUGUGCGGUAUUACCUCCUUUUACAAGCAAAGGGGGAACCCUGAUGGUGUUGCAGUGGUAAUUAACUGUGUUGAUCCUGGUACCCUGAAACAUUAUGAGAUCAAGCACUUUGAUGGGAAGGGGCUCCUCAAAAUAUAAAAUUAGGCGACUCAAAUGGUCUAUGGCUGCAGUAACUGUUUUAGGUAUCGGAAAACUGUAAUAAGUAGCGAAAGUGAUAUAGAUCUUAAUGUAACAUUGUAACUGAAUCAUGGAUUUUUGUAGAUUGUACUUUAUUUGUUUCUAUAUACCUAUGAAUGUAAAAUUUAUUUAGUUUUGGCUCUUCUAUGAUUCUAUCA